rnacentral:hammerhead_ribozyme from 1 species
AUGCAGAUGACGAGUUCCAAAUAGGACGAAACGUGUGUCAAACUGGAU